UGCCUACAACAUAACAUUAAUGCGUCGGAUUCCAUUAGAACUUUGCAGUUAAGCGCAAUCGGGCUAGAAUAGUGUUGGGAUGGGUAACCGCCUGGGAAGUCCUAGUAUUUUACAUGC
rnacentral:rRNA from 1 species